rnacentral:misc_RNA from 1 species
GAUGAAGAACGCAGCGAAAUGCGAUAAUUAAUGUGAAUUGCAAAUUCAGUGAAUCAUCGAGUCUUUGAACGCACAUUGCGCCCCCUGGUAUUCCGGGGGGCAUGCCUGUCCGAGCGUCAUUGCUGCCCUCAAGCACGGCUUGUGUGUUGGGCCCCGUCCUCCGAUCCCGGGGGACGGGCCCGAAAGGCAGCGGCGGCACCGCGUCCGGUCCUCGAGCGUAUGGGGCUUUGUCACCCGCUCUGUAGGCCCGGCCGGCGCUUGCCGAUCAACCCAAAUUUUUAUCCAGGUUGACCUCGGAUCAGGUAGGGAUACCCGCUGAACUUAAGCAUAUCAAUAAGCGGAGGA